GCCGUUUCCUCCUCCAGCGACCUUCCUGACCCAGGGAUCUUCCGGACCCAGGGAUCGAACCUGCGUCUCCUGCGUUGGCAGGCAGAUGGUUCACCACCAAACCUCCUGGGGAAGCCUGGCCAUGUUUCAUGGGAUGAAUGUUUUCAGCCCCUAGAGACAUGUGCCUGAGAGAACCGCCAACACAUGGGCACAAGAUACUCACACAGGAAGGUCCGCAGAUGCGCUCUUCAUGUAUGGAAGAUAAGAAAUCUUUAAGAAAGAUUCUCCAGGCAAGAAUACUGGAGUGGAUUGCCAUUUCCGCCUCCAGGGGAUCUUCCCGACCCAGGGAUCGAACCCGCAUCUCUCAGAUCUCCUGCCCAAGGGAACACC